rnacentral:misc_RNA from 1 species
GAUGAAGAACGCAGCGAAAUGCGAUACUUGGUGUGAAUUGCAGAAUCCCGUGAACCAUCGAGUCUUUGAACGCAAGUUGCGCCCGAAGCCGUCAGGCCGAGGGCACGCCUGCCUGGGCGUCACACGCCGUUGCCCCCCCGCGCCCCGCACCCAACUCUUUGGGAGCGACCGCGGGGCGGGCUGAUGAUGGCCUCCCGUGCGCUCCGCCGCGCGGUUGGCCCAAAUACCGAGUCCCCGGCGACGUGCGCCAUGACGAUCGGUGGUUGAGAGACCUCUGUCGCAAGUCGUGCGCGCCCGUCGCGUCACGCGGGCUCGCAUAGCGCCUCGCGCCGCACCCGGUGCGGAGCUUUCAACGCGACCCCAGGUCAGGCGGGGUUACCCGCUGAGUUUAAGCAUAUCAAUAAGCGGAGGA